rnacentral:misc_RNA from 1 species
AAUAAAUUAUAUUCUCUCCCUGCUAAUUUGAAGGGGGAACAAUCAACUCCAUAACUCUAAUAAUUUCUUAGGCUGACUCAAAGAAUGGGAAUUUCUCCCUUAAGAGUGUGUAUAAUUUGCUGGAUAGUAGAGAAAGGAGGAGUGCAGAUAUUAAUUGGGAUAUUAUUUGGAAGUGGCACGGGCUCCAAAGGAUUCGAAGUUUCUUAUGGUUAUGUUUCCAUGGGAGGCUUUUUACAAAUGAAGAGAGAUGCAGAUGCCAUAUUGUAAGUUCUCCGAUGUGCCCCAUUUGUUUUUGUCAGAGUGAGUCUAUUUUACAUGUGUUGCGUGAUUAUUUUAUACCCAAGGCUGUUUGGGCUCAUUUGUUCGAUGGGUGGAGGGGACAUUAGUAGUUCUUUAAUGAUAGUUUUAUGCUGAAUUGGUUGAGUUCCAAUCUAAAAGUAUUGGAUGUCCAUUCAAGUGGUUUUCCUCAGUGCUCGAUCUUUGAGACAGUAUGUUGGUCCUUAUGGAAGAAGGGGAAUGAUUAUGUUUUUAAUGAUGAUGGUAUUCUUAAUGAAAGCAUAGUGAGUUUGGUUCUUAACAGAGUGCAGAUUUUUAAUUCUAAUAUGGAAAAAAUUGCACAACUGGAUAAUGUGCAGAAAAGGAGAACAGUUGAGUGGUGGUGUCCUAUUGAGCCCUCCUAGUUUUGUUUAAAUACAGAUGGUCCUAUGUGUGGAGGAAGUGGCAUCGCGUCAGGUGGUGGGCUUAUUAGAGAUGCAAGUGGCUUUUGGGUGACGGAAUUCCUUACUAAUUUUGGAAAAGCAUUGGUGAUUUAUGCUGAGUUAAAAGCUUUGUUGGAAGGGUUAAGUUUGGCAUGGGCUCUACGUUUCAGUAAGUGUGUGUGCAAUGUGAUAAUGCCAGUGUGGGUAAUGUUGUUUCUUCACCUGUGGAUGAGCAACAGUACGUGAAACCUUUUGUGCAAGCUACAAAGAGUUAUCUAAGCAGAGAUUAGUAUGUUAGAGUGAUUGUAGUGUUGAGAGAAGCUAAUUAUGCAAUUAACUGCUUGGCGCAUUUGGCUAGGGAUCGUGAAUUGGGAGUUACUCAUAUAUUUGAGCCCUUUGCUAAGCUGUUUACUUGGUUGGUCCACGAUUCAAUUGGCUUUGCUUACCCGAGAA